rnacentral:rRNA from 1 species
AUGAACGCUGGCGGCGUGCCUAAUACAUGCAGGUCGAGCGAACAGACGAGGAGCUUGCUCCUCUGACGUUAGCGGCGGACGGGUGAGUAACACGUGGAUAACCUACCUAUAAGACUGGGACAACUUCGGGAAACCGGAGCUAAUACCGGAUAAUAUAUUGAACCGCAUGGUUCAAUAGUGAAAGACGGUUUUGCUGUCACUUAUAGAUGGAUCCGCGCCGCAUUAGCUAGUUGGUAAGGUAACGGCUUACCAAGGCAACGAUGCGUAGCCGACCUGAGCGGGUGAUCGGCCACACUGGAACUGAGACACGGUCCAGACUCCUACGGGAGGCAGCAGUAGGGAAUCUUCCGCAAUGGGCGAAAGCUUGACGGAGCAACGCCGCGUGAGUGAUGAAGGUCUUCGGAUCGUAAAACUCUGUUAUUAGGGAAGAACAAAUGUGUAAGUAACUAUGCACGUCUUGACGGUACCUAAUCAGAAAGCCACGGCUAACUACGUG